rnacentral:rRNA from 1 species
AUGGGGGAGAGCCGCGGCAGCAUCUCCUUCUUCGGGACCUACAGGCCACCGGUGCCCCUGGGCAUAUUCUCCUGCCCCGUUGAUCCGCCCCCAUCCUCUUACAAGGACGAGCUCCUCCUCACCGACGACCUCUCGUACAACCAGAACGGCCAGCCCGUCCCGGCCGCCGCGCUCAAGGAGAUCCUGGCCUUCAUGGGAAAGAAGAACCCCAAGGUGGCCUCCGACUGCGGCGUCACCCUGGAGGACGUGGCCAAGGGCACUGUCACCGGCCUGGUCUUCGUCUCCGAGAGGGACCGCGGCCUCGAGACGCUGCACCUGGCCCUGCGCCGCCCCGCCACCGGUCAGGUGGUGAAGGUGCUGAGCCUGCUGGGCGACAUCUACGGCGUGGACGGCGGCGUGCGCAUGGAGGACAGCGGCUGCAUCGCCGGUGGCUUCACGGUGAACGGCGGACGCCGCACCGUCGGCUACUCGCUCGUGUACGUCUCCACCAAGGAGCCGGCGAGAACACGGCGCACCCCGUGGACCGUGGUGUACAGGACCGACCUUGCCGACGGCAAGACCGAGCGACUCACGCCACUGGGCCAGUACGACCUGAGCCCGGCCGUGUCGCCGUCCGGGAAGAUGGUGGCGGUGGCUAACUUCCACGGCAACAGGUGGAACGGCGAGAUCGAAAAUCUGAAGACCCAGAUCGUGAUCAUGAACGUGGACAAGAGGGCGCAGGGAAGCUUGGACCGUAAGGUUGUGAUCAAGGAUGGCGGCUGGCCAACGUGGGGCAGCGACAACAUCAUCUUCUUCCACCGUGGGGUCGACUCGAAGCCGCCCUCCAACACCGCAGCAUGGGCCGUGUACCGGUACGACAUCGCCGCCGGCAAGGAAGAUUGGGUAACGCCGGCGGGAAUGGACGCCAUGACCCCGGCGGCCAUCAGCGAGACCAGAGUGGCAGUGGCGUUCAUCGGGGAGAAAUCCAAGCAAGUCCAAAUGCAGGUGGAGCGCGAGGAGUCGCAGUACCGGCACAUCCAGAUCUUCGACACAGCCAUGCCGGAGAAGCUGCCCGUGAAGAUCACCCAGAUGAUGAGGAAGGAAGGGGACCACUACAACCCCUUCGUGCUCGAUGGCGGCAGCCGCAUCGGUUACCACCGCUGCAGAACCGAUAAGCUACUACCCAUCACGAUCAAGGAUAAUAAUGGUGGUGAGAAGAAGAGCACAAGCAUCGAGAGGAAGUUCGACAAGGUGCAGUCGCACCAGCCGGACGUGGGGCUGUUCAGGGUGACGGGCGUGUUCCCGUCCAUCUCUAAGGACGGGAAGAAACUGGCCUUCGUGGACAACGAGUUCAAGGCAGUGUGGCUGGCCGACAGCCAAGGAGGCCUGCGCAUCGUGUACAAGGUGAGGAAAGAGAAGAGUGUCUUCUCGACGUCGUGGAACCAGAACGACAAGCUGGACACGCUCUACGUCUGCGAAGGCCCGGCCUUCACCAUCAAGGAGCCGGUGCAGAUCAUGAGGAUCCCCGACGUGUCCGCCCCCGGGAGGCGGAGGGCUCUGGCCCUCACCGACAAGCCGUUCAACUGCGCCUUCCCGUCCACCAACGCCGACGGGGACAAGCUCGUGUUCCGCUCCAGCAGGGACAGGGUAGGAGGGGAGAGGAAGCACAAGAACCUCUUCAUCAUCGACGCCAUCAAAGGGGAGGCUCUCGGCGUGGACCAGCUCACGGACGGGCCGUGGACGGACACCCACUGCAGCUGGUCGCCCAGGGAAGGCUGCGACUGGAUCGUCUUCUCCUCCUCCGGCAGGCCGGAGAAGGACGUCUUCAAGCCGGCAGACGAGCCGGAGCUGGACCACGGCCUCGACCCGGGCUACUUCGCCGUCUACCUCGUGAGCGCCAAGGACAUGGUCAAGGGCAUGGUGCCGGCGCCGGUGCGGGUGAUCUACAGCGCGCCCACCAUCGCGGGUCACAUCAACCACCCCGUGUUCAGCCCCGACAUGAUGAGCAUCGUCUUCGCCGCCGACCUCGCCGCCGUCUCCGCCGACCCCAUCUCCAUGCCACACUUCACGCACUCGGUCAGGCCCUACGGCGACAUCUUCUCCGUCAACCUCAUAGACACGGAGGAUGACAUGGCCAAGAACAAGGACAUCCAAAAGUUCCACCGCGUCACGCACAGCCGCUACGAGUACUCCACGCCUACAUGGUCCGGCCGUGCCGACGACGAGCUCGACCCCAACACCAAAUGGAAGAUGCUGGAAAGCUGGCACGACGACUUCCAGCCCCGGUGCCCGUACGUCGGCGGCCAAGCUGGCCAGAAGGAGAGCUGGCACAUGACCGGACACCUCUCCAUCGAUAAGAGGUGCUGCUAA